rnacentral:rRNA from 1 species
CGAAAGGGAGAGUAACGCGUAGAUAUCUACCUCGAGGCCCGGGAUAGCGGCGGGAAACUGCCGGUAAUACCGGAUAACAUCUCCGGAUCAAAGGUGUGAUUCCGCCUCGAGAUGAGUCUGCGUCCUAUUAAUGCUUGUUGGUGUGGUAACGGCGCACCAAGGCGAAGAUGGGUACCGGGUGUGAGAGCAUGGCCCGGCUCACUGGGACUGAGACACUGCCCAGACACCUACGGGUGGCUGCAGUCGAGAAUCUUCGGCAAUGGGCGAAAGCCUGACCGAGCGACGCCGCGUGCGGGAUGAAGGCCCUCGGGUUGUAAACCGCUGUCAGUAGGGAGCAAAUCUCUUGGGGUUAUCCCCUUGAGUUGAGCGAUCUUCAGAGGAAGUACGGGCUAAGUUCGUGCCAGCAGCCGCGGUAAGACGAACCGUACGAACGUUAUUCGGAAUCACUGGGCUUAAAGAGUCCGUAGGCGGCCGUGUAGGUGGGAUGUGAAAGCCCUCGUCUCAACCGAGGAAUUGCGUUCCAAACCACAUGGCUUGAGGAUGAUAGAGGUGAGCGGAA